rnacentral:rRNA from 1 species
CCUAUACAUGCAAGUCGAGCGAAUGGAUUAAGAGCUUGCUCUUAUGAAGUUAGCGGCGGACGGGUGAGUAACACGUGGGUAACCUGCCCAUAAGACUGGGAUAACUCCGGGAAACCGGGGCUAAUACCGGAUAACAUUUUGAACCGCAUGGUUCGAAAUUGAAAGGCGGCUUCGGCUGUCACUUAUGGAUGGACCCGCGUCGCAUUAGCUAGUUGGUGAGGUAACGGCUCACCAAGGCAACGAUGCGUAGCCGACCUGAGAGGGUGAUCGGCCACACUGGGACUGAGACACGGCCCAGACUCCUACGGGAGGCAGCAGUAGGGAAUCUUCCGCAAUGGACGAAAGUCUGACGGAGCAACGCCGCGUGAGUGAUGAAGGCUUUCGGGUCGUAAAACUCUGUUGUUAGGGAAGAACAAGUGCUAGUUGAAUAAGCUGGCACCUUGACGGUACCUAACCAGAAAGCCACGGCUAACUACGUGCCAGCAGCCGCGGUAAUACGUAGGUGGCAAGCGUUAUCCGGAAUUAUUGGGCGUAAAGCGCGCGCAGGUGGUUUCUUAAGUCUGAUGUGAAAGCCCACGGCUCAACCGUGGAGGGUCAUUGGAAACUGGGAGACUUGAGUGCAGAAGAGGAAAGUGGAAUUCCAUGUGUAGCGGUGAAAUGCGUAGAGAUAUGGAGGAACACCAGUGGCGAAGGCGACUUUCUGGUCUGUAACUGACACUGAGGCGCGAAAGCGUGGGGAGCAAACAGGAUUAGAU